AGCAGCGGGGGCGUGGUGCCUGCGCAGGCAAUCCCCGCCGGCGCCACCGUCGCCGGAGAGACCCUGUACCUCGGCAGGACCACGCAUGAUGAUGGAGUUGUUACUGUUGGGAAGGUGCACCCGUCUCACGGCUGCCUCUACUACCCCUACGACGGACAGGAGCGGAGGGCAGAGGACGAGUGUCUCGUCGUCGUGUAAUAUAUUUUAUUGAACAAAUAAAAUCUGUUCAUGAUACAGUAAUAACUAUGA